rnacentral:rRNA from 1 species
AGUGAACGCUGGCGGUAGGCCUAACACAUGCAAGUCGAACGGCAGCACAGUAAGAGCUUGCUCUUACGGGUGGCGAGUGGCGGACGGGUGAGGAAUACAUCGGAAUCUACUUUUUCGUGGGGGAUAACGUAGGGAAACUUACGCUAAUACCGCAUACGACCUACGGGUGAAAGCAGGGGAUCUUCGGACCUUGCGCGAUUGAAUGAGCCGAUGUCGGAUUAGCUAGUUGGUGGGGUAAAGGCCCACCAAGGCGACGAUCCGUAGCUGGUCUGAGAGGAUGAUCAGCCACACUGGAACUGAGACACGGUCCAGACUCCUACGGGAGGCAGCAGUGGGGAAUAUUGGACAAUGGGCGCAAGCCUGAUCCAGCCAUACCGCGUGGGUGAAGAAGGCCUUCGGGUUGUAAAGCCCUUUUGUUGGGAAAGAAAAGCAGCAGGUUAAUACCUCGCUGUUCUGACGGUACCCAAAGAAUAAGCACCGGCUAACUUCGUG